AUGGCUCAGUGAGGCCUUGGGACUGGCUCAGAGAGGUCGGCAACGACCACUCAGAGCCGGAAACUUGGUCAAACUUGGUCAUUUAGAGGAAGUAAAAGUCGUAACAAGGUUUCCGUAGGUGAACCUGCGGAAGGAUCAUUACCGAGUUAGGGUCCCUUGGGCCCGAACCUCCCAACCCUUUGUAUACUUGACCUCUGUUGCUUCGGCGGGCCCGUCCUUUACCGGACCGCCGGAGGACCGUCGCCCUGCGGCGUCCUCUGGCCCGUGCCCGUCGAUGGCCAACCUUUAAAAUUCUAUGCUGAAAUCAUGUUAUUUGUCUGAAUCCACAAAAGCAAAAUAAAGCAAAACUUUCAACAACGGAUCUCUUGGUUCUGGCAUCGAUGAAGAACGCAGCGAAAUGCGAUAAGUAAUGCGAAUUGCAGAAUUCCAGUGAGUCAUCGAAUCUUUGAACGCACAUUGCGCCCUUUGGUAUUCCGAAGGGCAUGCCUGUUCGAGCGUCAUUAUCACCCCUCAAGCCCUGUGCUUGGCGUUGGAUGGCCUGGUCGCGGUGCGUCGCGACCCCUCCCAAAGACAAUGACGGCGGCCUGCGGUUCCCCCGGCACACUGAGCUUCUCACCGAGCACGUGUCGGAUCAUUGGGUGCGCGGGCCACGGUCCUCUUCCUAGUGGCUAGGAAACUUCACACAAGGUUGACCUCGGAUCAGGUAGGAAUACGCGCUGAACUUAAGCAUAUCAAUAAGCGCAGGAAAAGAAACCAACAGGGAUUGCCUCAGUAACGGCGAGUGAAGCGGCAACAGCUCAAAUUUGAAAUCUGGCCUCUUGGGGUCCGAGUUGUAAUUUGUAGAGGAUGUUUUGGGUACCGCCCCGGUCUAAAUUUCUUGGAACAGAAUGUCAAAGAGGGUGAGAAUCCCGUCUUGGACCGGCGGUAGGGCCUGUGUAAAACUCCUUCGACGAGUCGAGUUGUUUGGGAAUGCAGCUCAAAAUGGGUGGUAAAUUUCAUCUAAAGCUAAAUAUUGGCCAGAGACCGAUAGCGCACAAGUAGAGUGAUCGAAAGAUGAAAAGCACUUUGAAAAGAGAGUUAAACAGUAUGUGAAAUUGUUGAAAGGGAAGCGCUUGCAACCAGACUUGCGCGCGGCGGUUCCCCUUGCCUUUUGGUCAGGGUACUCCGUCGCGUUCAGGCCAACAUCGGUUUUGGGGGCCAGUUAAAGGCCCUGGGAAUGUACCUACCUACGGGUAGACUUAUAGACCAGGGUGCCAUGUGGCCUCCCGGGACCGAGGAACGCGCUUCGGCUCGGAUGUUGGCGUAAUGGUUGUCAGCGACCCGUCUUGAAACACGGACCAAGGAGUCUAACAUCUAUGCGAGUGUUUGGGUGUCAAACCCGGAACGCGGAAUGAAAGUGAACGGAGGUAGGAAGCUUCGGCUGCACUAUCGACCGAUCCUGAAGUUUACGGAUGGAUUUGAGUAAGAGCAUAGCUGUUGGGACCCGAAAGAUGGUGAACUAUGCCUGAAUAGGGUGAAGCCAGAGGAAACUCUGGUGGAGGCUCGCAGCGGUUCUGACGUGCAAAUCGAUCGUCAAAUUUGGGUAUAGGGGCGAAAGACUAAUCGAACCAU
rnacentral:rRNA from 1 species